GCCUGGCUGGCUCAGUCGGUAGAGGGUGUGACUCUUGAUCUCAGGGUUGUGAGUUUGAACCCCAUGUUGGGUG
rfam:Ailuropoda melanoleuca scaffold692_28, whole genome shotgun sequence.